UACAGAGGGUGCGAGCGUUGUUCGGAAUUACUGGGCGUAAAGAGUGUGUAGGCGGUGCUCCAAGUCUGGUGUGAAAUCUCCCGGCUUAACUGGGAGGGUGCAUUAGAAACUGGAAUGCUAGAGGAUGGGAGAGGUAAGCGGAAUUCCUGGUGUAGCGGUGAAAUGCGUAGAUAUCAGGAGGAACACCUGUGGUGUAGACAGCUUACUGGACCAUUUCUGACGCUGAGACACGAAAGCGUGGGUAGCAAACAGG
rnacentral:rRNA from 1 species